UACGAAGGGGGGCUAGCGUUGUUCGGAAUUACUGGGCGUAAAGCGCGCGUAGGCGGCUUUGCAAGUCGGGUGUGAAAUCCCCAGGCUUAACCUGGGAACUGCAUUCGAGACUGCAUUGCUAGAGUAUGGGGAGAGGGAAGUGGAAUUUCCGGUGUAGCGGUGAAAUGCGUAGAUAUCGGAAGGAACAUCAGUGGCGAAAGCGACUUCCUG
rnacentral:rRNA from 1 species